rnacentral:lncRNA from 1 species
CAGAAAGGGUUGAAUAAGAUCUGUGGAUCAAUUACUGUCAAACGUAUGGCUAGACGGGCAGAACAACCUGCAAGGAUUCUGUCUCUUAUGUUCUUUUGUUCAGUGAAAUAUAGAAUAUUUGUAAAACAUGGCUAAUGUAUUUUUUCAGCUUCUGCAGCCCUGAUGCUGUGUCACUGAGUGUCCUGUCUGUGUUUCUUUACAGGGGAGGAGAAACUCAAUGCCAUUCCUGUCAUCCUCACAGAACUGGGCAAGUGAUCUUCUGUGUCUGUGAGAUCACAGAUCCACCAAUAUAAACACUAAUGAAUUAUAUUUGAGUGCACUGUUGUUCUGCAGUUUACUGUACUCUACUGUAAUGAACUAUAUUACACUGGAGUGUAUCCUUCUUUUAUUUUCUUCAGUAAUACACACAGGUAUUUGAUCAGUUGUGAAGAUUUACAAAAGCAAUAGAAGCUACAGAGAAAGAGAAAUUCCUGUACAAAAAUGUAAAUAAGGAGAUCUAACUCAGUUUUGACUUCCUCUCAGUUUGGUCCCAAUGCACAUUUUCAAAGUUAAUAUUUUAAUGAAAACUUUAGUUUUAGACCACUUGCAUUGGUGAAAAAAACUAACUGGCAGCAGAAACUAUAAAGUAAGAAAUGCUGCUUCUAUGAAUAUCAGUCUUCUUUGCUCUCUUCUAAUGUGUCAAAGACACUCUGAAAAGGCUCGUUUCAGACUGACAACAGGCCAUCAGCCCCUUGUCCUGAGUGAACAGUCUGUAUCUUGACACUGUGGGGGUCCUGCCUGUGUCCUGCUGUUACACACAGUAUCUGUAGUGCUGGAACAACACAGCUGGUUGUUACAGUACCAGCAUCCUGCCACCAGAGGGCACCCAAGCCGAUUGCAUGUACCUCAUCUGCUCUGGGGAGGAGUAGGUUAAUCAGACCUCAUUAACCCAUCACCAGGCCUCCCCUCCAGCCUACUUGAACCCUGCUCUGUGUCCACAGUGCUCAGUAGUGGGUUAGACCUUGAGAGCUACAUGGUUCUUUCAUUGUGAUAUCUUCCCAAUGUUCCUUCUAGGUUUUGGGAUUUUUGGCUUGCUUUUUCCACCUCGAUUUCUGGGUUUAGACUUUAAGACCUUGACCUUGGAUUUCACUGUUUGCAUGUGAUCAUACCUGCGUAGGGUCCACUUCUUUGAAAAUAGAUGCUGAGCAGUGUGACACUGCUCUGACUGCUUGUGUUCAGCCAGCUGGGCCCCUGUCUGUGUCAGACUGAUACUGUCUGUGUGUCCUGGAUCAGGCCU